GGCUGGUCCGAAGGUAGUGAGUUCUCUCAGUUGCUUGUUCAUAGUUACAGAUGGAACUCCUAGUUCUGUUCUUUCCCCCUUCUCACUACUGCACUUGACUAGUCUUAA
rnacentral:Y_RNA from 1 species